AAUAAAUAGUGAGGAAAUUCUAUGCAGUGGUCAUUGAAACGCUCUUAUGCAUCACAAAAAGGCUCAGCAGCCAGCUGUCUGAAAGAGGUGAUUCUUUCCCUCAAUGCU